rnacentral:rRNA from 1 species
UGAAUACGAGACGCUACGGCGUCGAAGCAGUCUAUGUCAGACUUCCAAGAAAAGCUCGCAAUGUCAUAAACAAAUAAUGCCUGUACCAUAACCGACACAGGUGGGUAGGUAGAGUAUACUAAGGGGCGCGAGAUAACUCUCUCUAAGGAACUCGGCAAAAUGACUCCGUAACUUCGGGAGAAGGAGUGCCUUAUUUAUAAGGUUGCAAUAACAAGAUCCAAGCAACUGUUUAUCAAAAACACAGGUCUCCGCUAAGUCGUAAGACGAUGUAUGGGGGCUGACGCCUGCCCAGUGCCAGAAGGUUAAAGAAGUUGGAUAGCAUUCGCGAAGCUGAUAACUGAAGCCCUGGUGAACGGCGGCCGUAACUAUAACGGUCCUAAGGUAGCGAAAUUCCUUGUCGGGUAAGUUCCGACCCGCACGAAAGGCGUAAUGAUUUGGAUACUGUCUCGGAGAGGGGCUCGGUGAAAUAGACUUGUCUGUGAAGAUGCGGACUACCUGCACCUGGACAGAAAGACCCUAUGAAGCUUUACUGUAACUUGAAAUCGAAAUUGGACUUUAUUUGCGCAGCAUAGGUGGGAGGCGUUGAGAGUAUUCUUGCGGGAAUAUUGGAGCCAUCAGUGAGAUACCACUCUUGUAAUGUUAGAUUUCUAACUUUGUAUCAUUAUCUGGUCAAAGAACAGUUUCAGGCGGGCAGUUUGACUGGGGCGGUCGCCUCCCAAACGGUAACGGAGGCGUACAAAGGUUUCCUCUGAACGGGUAGAAAUCGUAUCUAGAGUGUAAAGGCAUAAGGAAGCUUGACUGUGAGACCUACAAGUCGAGCAGGGACGAAAGUCGGUCUUAGUGAUCUGACGGUGCUGAGUGGAAAGGCCGUCACUCAACGGAUAAAAGUUACUCUAGGAUAACAGGCUGAUCUCCCCCAAGAGUUCACAUCGACGGGGAGGUUUGGCACCUCGAUGUCGGCUCAUCGCAUCCUGGGGCGGUAGUACGUCCCAAGGGUUGGGCUGUUCGCCCAUGAAAGCGGUACGCGAGCUGGGUUCAGAACGUCGUGAGACAGUUCGGUCCAUAUCCGGUGUAGGCGUUAGAAUAUUGAGAGGAGCCUUCUUUAGUACGAGAGGACCGAGAAGGACAUACCUCUGGUGUACCAGUUAUCGUGCCAACGGUAAACGCUGGGUAGCUAUGUAUGGAGAGGAUAACCGCUGAAAGCAUCUAAGUGGGAAGCCCACCUCAAGAUAAGUAUUCUCAU